AUCACCUAGAGAAGUUGUUAAAAUGCAGAUUCUGAGUCAGUAGAUCUGGGAAAGGGCCUGGGAUUCUGCAUUUUUAACAAGUUUCCAGGUAAUGCUGC
rfam:Pongo abelii chromosome 2a.